ACACCGAGAGAGAUAAUCUCAUUUUAGGGACACCAAGGGACAUAAGCUCAAUUUUGGGACAUCGAUGGACAUAACCUCAAUUUAGGGACUGCGAGGGUCAUAAGCUCAAUUUAGGGACACCGAGGGACAUAAGCUCAAUUUAGGGACACCGAGGGACAUAAGCUCAAUUUUGGGACACCGAGGAUCAUAAGCUCAAUUUAGGAACACCGAGGGACAAAAGCUCAAUUUAGGG
rnacentral:lncRNA from 1 species